AAUUUCUAAUAAUAAUUAUCGUUUUAUUAAUUUUAAUUUAUUUUUUGCAAAGAGACCUAAAAAAACACAUUAUUUUGACGGUGUAAUUACUAAUUUGUCCCCAUUGAGAUCUGUCUCAAAACCCUAACCACCGUCCGCCUCCUCCAUAUAUUCUCGCUCCUAUUUCACACAGAGAGAGAGUGAGAGAGAGAGAGAGAGACAUACUGCGAGGAGCUGGAGGCGGAUUUCGACGGCGGCAUAGACCGUCGACGGCGGCGCUUACUUCCUCCUUCGAGUUUGAGAUCGUAAAUCUACGUGGUUGGAGAGCUGGAGAAGUCAAUUAGAUGAUUCAAACCGGUCCGGCAUGUGUGACAGACACAGCCAUCCGAUUUACGUUUUUCGUCGUUUGUUGGGGAAAUCCGGAACGGAGAGGUCGGUUCCCAUCCCAUUCGGGCGAACCCCGUAUACUUGUGGAAAUUAAAAAAAAAUAUUAAUUGUUUGUAAAUUUUCUGUUGCAUAAUUCAUUUUUUAUUUACAAGUAAUUUUUGUGAGAUAUUCAGAGCUGUUCUCUUUGUUUUCAAUCCCAGAAAUAACAUUUGUUUCAUAUUCAAAGUGUAUGAUCUACACAAAAAAGUUAAUAUAUACAGUUGAAAUAA